GCUGAAAGUAAGCCUGGGCUUCUAGAACAGACAACUGAGUUCCUUCCAACUGCCCAGCUGGGCCUGUUUCUCCUUCAGACUGGAUGUUCUGAUGUGGAAAAUUCCAUCCUCUUUGGGAGCUAAGAGGACGCUAGAAAUUCUGUGUCUGGAGAGAAUCCUGGACGAGAGGGGGCUCAGGUAGCGCCAGCUGGAAGGGACAGCCUGGAAAAUGCGAGCGCUCCUCAGCUGCCCCAUUUCUUGUUUCUCUGCAUCCUCUUUAGUGAUGGAGGAGGAGAGAAGACCCGAUGGCAGGAGCUCCCGGAGAGAAGAUCCCUCCCCGAAGCAGGCUCCGGCUGCCCCAUGACUUAUCCCACUUUGCCGGUCGAUAGGCACGAGGCACUCCGACCUGACCCCGAAGGUCCAGAUACUUCUGUCUUCUAGACACUGAGCUUGCAUUAUGAUUCCCAAAUUAAGAUCUCUGAACAGGUCUGGCCACGCCACUCUUCUACCCCCAAAUCUCGCUGAAUGAGUAACUUCCCGAGUGAUGUCAGGACCACAGACAAAGCCCUCAGCCUGGCAUUUCAAGGUUUCCCUAAUCCUGCUCCAGCCUGCUUCUGGAGACCUUCAUACCAUUCCCCUUAGUUCACUGGACGUUCCAGCCAAACGGAGCGAGCUCGUCCUCCAGCUCAGCAGGCUCCCCGCCUUCCACGAGGCUCCCCCACCUCAGGAAUUCACUCCCUUCUCACCACCACAUUGGAUCAUCCUCAGCUUCUGUCCAGGGGCCACAGCCCACGUUUCCUCCUGGGGAAUUCUCCUGGUGCUCUGGCAUGGGAAAAUCCCUGCCAUGUACCCCCCGAAGCCCUUCCUGAUGCCUCCUCAUGUCCCUCCUCAAAUUAACUUGUCUUUUCUCCACCGUAAUGACGUACAUGGUGGUUAUCCAUCCUUCAUCUUUGAAGAGGACCACUGGCAUCCCACGGCCAAGUCUUGACUCGCUCUGGAACAAGCUUUAAGUGAGGUACAGAAGCUCCAUCCAAGUCCAGCAGCAGGACGAAAGUCACGGUCCUGGACGUGGCAUCUUCCGUGUCUGACCCAGCUCGAAGAGCUCCACCGCAUCUGCUUCCCCUGCCUUUGUGGCCCCUGGAACAAGUGGUUCUCUGCCCAUUCUGUCCCCCUAAACCACCAAAGGGUUCGAGGUCUUCACCUGGCUCAGACCAUCUUCCAAGAUGGUUUUCCUGCUAUCACUUCUUGGAGCCACAAAUGCCAAUUGGGCGAAAGAUGGCUGGGCAGCCUAGAAAAGGGCUCACACCAGAGGUGUGUCCUCCCCAGACACCCCCCCUGCACCCUGCCUAUCUGGGUACAUACAUGCUUUUUAAUAUCACACUUUGUUAUAGUGAACUUUGGUUUCCAUGAAUAAAAUUCUAGGAUCGGGCUAAUUGACUUCUAAAGUCUUAUCUAACUUUAAAUUUCAAGUUCUUCAGGGAAUCAUAGCAGAGUUGGAAAUGGAAACUGAGUCGCCUGAUAGAGUAUGUUUAACAUGUUAUAUCACAUGUAACAUUCACACACACAUAUAUGUAUUUCUGAAAAAAUGAGUCAUUGAGGCAAUGAUUUCCCUUCCUAAGACCCUGGCAAAGAUUCCUCAAUCUUUAUUAGAAAAGAAAGUACCGAGUUUAAUGGAUUCAAACACCAUUUAUCACAUUUCCAUGUAAAGGGAAUAACAUCUUCCCCUGAUUCUGCAUGUUUUAUGUCCGUACAUGUACUGUAAAAUAAAAGAUCCUUGAGGGCA